rnacentral:hammerhead_ribozyme from 1 species
GCCUUGCUGACGAGUCCCAAAUAGGACGAAAUACCUCUUAGAU